UUCCGGUUGAUCCUGCCGGAGGCCAUUGCUAUCGGGGUCCGAUUUAGCCAUGCUAGUCGCACGGGUUCAGACCCGUGGCGAAAAGCUCAGUGACACGUGGCCAAACUACCCUGUGGAUCGGGACAACCUCGGGAAACUGAGGCUAAUCCCGAAUAGGGCUCACAGCCUGGAGUGGCGUGAGUCCGAAACGCUCCAGCGCCACAGGAUGUGGCUGCGGCCGAUUAGGUUGACGGUGGGGUAACGGCCCACCGUGCCCAUAAUCGGUACGGGUUGUGAGAGCAAGAGCCCGGAGACGGUAUCUGAGACAAGAUACCGGGCCCUACGGGGCGCAGCAGGCGCGAAACCUUUACACUGCGCGAGAGCGGAUAAGGGGACCCCGAGUGCGAGGGCAUAUAGUCCUCGCGUUUCUGGACUGUAGGGAGGUCCAAGAAUAAGGGCUGGGCAAGACCGGUGCCAGCCGCCGCGGUAAUACCGGCAGCGCGAGUGAUGGCCGAUUUUAU
rnacentral:rRNA from 1 species